rnacentral:rRNA from 1 species
UACGGGGGGGGCAAGCGUUGUUCGGAAUUACUGGGCGUAAAGGGCUCGUAGGUGGCCAACUAAGUCGGACGUGAAAUCCCUCGGCUUAACCGGGGAACUGCGUCUGAUACUGGAUGGCUUGAGUUCGGGAGAGGGAUGCGGAAUUCCAGGUGUAGCGGUGAAAUGCGUAGAUAUCUGGAGGAACACCGGUGGCGAAGGCGGCAUCCUGGACCGACACUGACGCUGAGGAGCGAAAGCUAGGGGAGCAAACAGG